rnacentral:rRNA from 1 species
UACGUAGGGUGCGAGCGUUAAUCGGAAUUACUGGGCGUAAAGCGUGCGCAGGCGGUGAUGUAAGACAGAUGUGAAAUCCCCGGGCUUAACCUGGGAACUGCAUUUGUGACUGCAUCGCUGGAGUGCGGCAGAGGGGGAUGGAAUUCCGCGUGUAGCAGUGAAAUGCGUAGAUAUGCGGAGGAACACCGAUGGCGAAGGCAAGUCCCU